UUUAACGUAGCUUAAAUACUAAAGCAAAGCACUGAAAAUGCUUAGACGGAUUAUAUUAAUCCCGUAAACA
rnacentral:tRNA from 1 species